AAUGAACGUUGGCGGCGUGGAUUAGGCACGCAAGUCGUGCGGCAGCAGGCCCCGCAAGGGGCGCUGGCGAGCGGCGAAAGGGAUAGUAAUGUGUGGAUACCUGCCCUGGGGACGGGGAUAGCUGCUGGAAACGGCAAUUAAUACCCGAUGAUGUCUCCGGACCAAAGGUGUGAUUCCGCCCUAGGAGGGGUCCACAUCCUAUUAGCUAGUUGGUGAGGUAACGGCUCACCAAGGCCACGAUGGGUAGCGGGUGUGAGAGCACGACCCGCGUCACUGGGACUGAGACACUGCCCAGACACCUACGGGUGGCUGCAGUCGAGGAUCUUCGGCAAUGAGCGAAAGCUUGACCGAGCGACGCCGCGUGCGGGAUGAAGGCCUUCGGGUUGUAAACCGCUUUCGGAGGGGAGGAAAUCUAGGGGGGAUCACCCUUCUAGUUGACCUAUCCUAGGAAGAAGGACGGGCUAAGUUCGUGCCAGCCGCCGCAGUAAUAC
rnacentral:rRNA from 1 species